CCUACGGGCGGCAGCAGUGGGGAAUAUUGCACAAUGGGCGCAAGCCUGAUGCAGCCAUGCCGCGUGUGUGAAGAAGGCCUUCGGGUUGUAAAGCACUUUCAGCGGGGAGGAAGGCGUUAAGGUUAAUAACCUUGUCGAUUGACGUUACCCGCAGAAGAAGCACCGGCUAACUCCGUGCCAGCAGCCGCGGUAAUACGGAGGGUGCAAGCGUUAAUCGGAAUUACUGGGCGUAAAGCGCACGCAGGCGGUCUGUCAAGUCGGAUGUGAAAUCCCCGGGCUCAACCUGGGAACUGCAUUCGAAACUGGGAGGCUAGAGUCUUGUAGAGGGGGGUAGAAUUCCAGGUGUAGCGGUGAAAUGCGUAGAGAUCUGGAGGAAUGCCGGUGGCGAAGGCGGCCCCCUGGACAAAGACUGACGCUCAGGUGCGAAAGCGUGGGGAGCAAACAGGAUUAGAUACCCGGGUAGUC
rnacentral:rRNA from 1 species